GUCAACCCGAAGUGUUCAGCGAGGUAGGACGCUGUGUGGCUGAGUUAUUGUGUUUGUGGCGUUUAUUGCGUGAUUGCAGAGGUGAUUGGGGCAAGAUGAGGUAUCGCAGGGAGUAGAGAAAUAUCAAUGGGCACGCCUCAACAACAACUACUACUACUACUACUCACUACUACUACUACUACUAUUACUACUGCUGCUGCUAAUAGGAGGAGUACCGACCAUAAAAAUGGCGCCUGUGUUUAGUGCUCACUGUUCACCCCGCCCCGUCCGCCCGUCCCGCUCAAGCCAGCCGUUCUCCGCCUUUCGCCUCCUUAAGAAAGAAGAGGAUUACGGGAACUGUGAUAAGCAUGUUGUAUCUAUCAAGACGCAUCAACAACACAAGAAUACCAGAAGCUAAACACUGUGCCUCGUCCAGUACUGUUUAUUCCACACUAUAUGUGAGUGUGUAAACGAAAGUGAUUCACCUGUAGACUAAUUAGCAAAGGUGACUAAAGUAUUUCUUCUGUCGUAACUCAAGAAACGGCUGGAAAAGAUGAGAUACGAAAGAAAGAAAGAUGUGACUAAGAUUGGAAGAAGGAUGAAAUGAAGGAGGAGGUAAGAAAGUAGAAGAAGAAACGCUAGAGGAAAAGGAAGAAUGUUUGAGAACAAUGCACGAAGGAAGAGGUGAAGAAGAAAGUGAGAAAAUAAAAGUAACUCGAAAGAACAAGGAAGAAUGUGUGAUGAGAAUGGAAAAGGGAAAAAAAAUGGAGGAGCAAGUAAGAAAGAAGAAACACUAGAGAAAAAAGAAGAAUGUGUGAGAACAGUGAACGAAGGGAGAACUGAAGAAGAAAGUGAGAAAAUAAAAGAAACACGAAAGAAGAAGGAAGAAUAUGUAACGAGAAUGGAAAAAACGAAAAAAAAAUGGUGGAAGCAGUAAGAAAAAAGAAUCACUAGAGAGAAAAAGAUGAAUGUGCGACAAGAAUGAAAGAAGGAAGAAGUGAAGGAGCACUCAAGCAAAUAGAAGCAAAAAAUAAAGGAGAAAGAUUAUAAACAUGAAAGCUGGUGACAAGAUUACAAGACAAGGUUGAAUCAUUAAACUAUCAAUACAAUAAAAAAAAACCUCCCUUGAAUAACAACACUAUAAUGACUUCAACUACAAACUCUUAGAGGUAAUGAAAGAAAGAUCAAGUUGUCAGUGCCGAUUCAUCAUGGAAAUCUGGAAGGAGAUUAGACAAAUUUAUUGGUGAAGGUGACAGGUGGAAAUAGUCAAAUAUACUUCAUACAGGGACUGCCACGUAUAGACAUUAUGGCUUCCUGCAACUUCUUUCCUUACAUUUUUACGUUCAUAUGUUCUAAGAGGCUGAAGCUUCAUAAUUCAGGCCCACAAAUGACGUCUUUUUUUUAGUCUACCCUAAUGGAGUUGAUGUGUUUUAGCGAGAGUAUGGGAAAGAGAGGUUGCAUCAAGGCCACAGGGAUUUAAAAUAAUGGAAGAUGGAAGGUGGAUGAAGGCAGGAAAUAGAAUGUUCUUUUUAGACUCUUACAGGUGAUAACUAAAAUUACGAAAACUCCCUUGAUUUCAACACCACAAUGACUUCCACUACAAGCUGCUGGAAGUAAGUGCAAGCAAGAUACCGAAGUGCUUCCUAAUACGGAUCCACAAAUGACUUUUUUUUUCCUUUUUUUUUUUUUUU